AUCCAGCUGACGAGUCCCAAAUAGGACAAAACGCGCGACCUGGAU
rfam:Schistosoma margrebowiei strain Zambia genome assembly, scaffold: SMRZ_scaffold0000225